rnacentral:rRNA from 1 species
ACGGUCCUAAGGUAGCGAAAUUCCUUGUCGGGUAAGUUCCGACCUGCACGAAUGGCGUAAUGAUGGCCAGGCUGUCUCCACCCGAGACUCAGUGAAAUUGAACUCGCUGUGAAGAUGCAGUGUACCCGCGGCAAGACGGAAAGACCCCGUGAACCUUUACUAUAGCUUGACACUGAACAUUGAGCCUUGAUGUGUAGGAUAGGUGGGAGGCUUUGAAGUGUGGACGCCAGUCUGCAUGGAGCCAACCUUGAAAUACCACCCUUUAAUGUUUGAUGUUCUAACUCCGGUCCCUAAUCGGGAUUGAGGACAGUGUCUGGUGGGUAGUUUGACUGGGGCGGUCUCCUCCUAAAGAGUAACGGAGGAGCACGAAGGUUAGCUAAUCACGGUCGGACAUCGUGAGGUUAGUGCAAUGGCAUAAGCUAGCUUGACUGCGAGAGUGACGGCUCGAGCAGGUACGAAAGUAGGUCAUAGUGAUCCGGUGGUUCUGAAUGGAAGGGCCAUCGCUCAACGGAUAAAAGGUACUCCGGGGAUAACAGGCUGAUACCGCCCAAGAGUUCAUAUCGACGGCGGUGUUUGGCACCUCGAUGUCGGCUCAUCACAUCCUGGGGCUGAAGUAGGUCCCAAGGGUAUGGCUGUUCGCCAUUUAAAGUGGUACGCGAGCUGGGUUUAGAACGUCGUGAGACAGUUCGGUCCCUAUCUGCCGUGGGCGUUGGAAGAUUGAGAGGGGCUGCUCCUAGUACGAGAGGACCGGAGUGGACGCAUCACUGGUGUUCGGGUUGUCAUGCCAAUGGCACUGCCCGGUAGCUAAAUGCGGAAGAGAUAAGUGCUGAAAGCAUCUAAGCACGAAACUUGCCCCGAGAUGAGUUCUCCCUGACUCCUUGAGAGUCCUGAAGGAACGUUGAAGACGACGACGUUGAUAGGCCGGGUGUGUAAGCGCAGCGAUGCGUUGAGCUAACCGGUACUAAUGAACCGUGAGGCUUAACCUU